GUACACGCUGUGACUAGCAUAUCAAUAAGCGGAGGAAAAGAAACUAACAAGGAUUCCCCUAGUAACGGCGAGUGAAGCGGGAAGAGCUCAAAUUUGAAAUCUUAAAGGGUUUCCCUUUACGAAUUGUAGUUUAAAGAAGUGUUUUCUGUUGAGGUUUUGGUAAAAGUUCUUUGGAAUAGGACAUCAUAGAGGGUGAGAAUCCCGUAUUUGACCUUUACUUUCAACUUUGUGAUACACUUUCAAAGAGUCGGAUUGUUUGGGAAUGCAGUCCAAAAUGGGUGGUAAAUUUCAUCUAAAGCUAAAUAUUGGCGAGAGACCGAUAGCGAACAAGUACCGUGAGGGAAAGAUGAAAAGAACUUUGAAAAGAGAGUUAAACAGUACGUGAAAUUGUCAAAAGGGAAGCGUUUGACACCAGUGUUGUUUUUCUGAAAAUCAAUUAAAGAACUGUUUAUGCUAAGCUGUUUAGACUUUAUCAGCUAUACUGUUUAGUUUUGAGCUUUUCUUUAAUGCACUUUUCAGUUAACAAGUCAACAUCAAUUUCUUUUGCUGUAAAAAAGCUUGAGGAAGGUGGCUUGAGAUUCGUCUUAAGUGUUUAUAGCCUCUUGCCUAUGCAGUCGGAGAGAUUGAGGUCUGCAGCGUAGAUCCUUCGGGGCUAAAUGCAUUUGUGCUAAGUUAUAGCAUUUUAUAGACAACUUGUUGACUAUGAUUUGUCUUGUAGCUUACUCGCUUAUGUUAUUUUACCUACGCUUAGGAUGUUGAAGAUGUAGCACAUCAU
rnacentral:rRNA from 1 species